ACCAAGCACCAUCCCCUACUGCAAUGCUAUGUAUUGUCCGGCCGCUGCACACAAGCUCUAUGCGUGCGGACGGCUGCUCCGCGCGCCCUGAUCUAGAGUGGAGACGCAGAUCGAUCACCUCGAGGCUGCGUCAGGCUUCCGUACAGUGUAUGUUCUCGCCAGAUGAUCUCGACUGGCAGCAACUUCAUGAUUUGACGAUGGUCACCCGCAUCCAAAAUCAAGUGGUUCGUUUGACUUGGUGCCUCGAUGUACCUAAUCACACAACCAUGCUGGUCCGCGUGAUGAUUGAGGCCGAUGGUAUCCUGAGUAUACCGUUGAGGAGCAAUAUCGAUAUUUCAAUCAAAGUCAAUAUCUUUGCACAGUCAGGAUAUAUCCUUCCUAUCCUAAAGCUACUGAACCGUUCCAUUGCUCAUAUGGACUUGGGGUUAUCAUCUAGAUGUCCGUGCAGGACGCUGUUUACUCGACGAUAACUAUCAUACGAGCUAGACUUGUCUUGCUUCGGAACACCGAAUUUUGCUAUAUGCCAGCAUCACUCCCUGGGGCAGAAGGUUACCAUCAGGCUCUCUACAUUAACUCCUUCCAUGAGGAUUCGCUACUCCGCACCACCACAAAGAUGCUUGAGGACAAGGACCGUGAGAAUCGUGCCUUGCGAUUGGAACUCUUCAACACUCAAGUUGACCAUUGGGCCACCCUAACAUGGUUUGCACCCGCCGUGCAGGCUGGCUAUAUGGACAUGAGGGAUUUGUACCCUGUGCAGUCUGGUCUGCCAGAUCGUAUGGACUGGCGUGAUGUAGGAGGCAUCACCCCUCCUCGUGGACCCCGUCUACCAUCGUUUGUUGGACCCAGACCACAUCCGAGUCCUUAUGGACCGCAAGCUUCACAGAAUCGACUGUUUUUAGAUGAUCACGUCUAGCUUCCAGGACAUGGGGGUAAUCUCUAUAAAGAUUACUACGGAGAUGUCUGAGUUGAUGAUAGCACCACUAGUAUAUUGUAACGAUUGUAUCAUCCACAGUCUUGCGUGACUCGUGGGAUAUGACUUAGUGUGUAUCACAUUCCGGAAGCGUAGAAAAAUAAUGUAUAGGAGCUUGAAAUGCCUCUGAUAAGAUGUACUAUUCUUUCAUCGUAGUUGUACUUCAGCUUGGGCUUGUACAAAACUAUGUAUGAUGUGUAUGACUGAUGGUGUAUAUAUGGCAUUUUCUGUAUUCCCAUGUCGUACAAAUAAACAUCUAUGCAUUUCUGUCA